AACGAACGCUGGCGGCGUGGAUAAGACAUGCAAGUCGAACGCUUGUUUCACUGUAGCAAUACAGUGAGGCAGGAGUGGCGCAAGGGUGCGUAACACGUGGGUAAUUUACCAUGAAGUUGGGGAUAAUUCCGCGAAAGCGGGACUAAUACCGAAUGUGGAUAUUGAAAGGCAUCUUUUGUAUAUCUGAAGCUGGGGACCGGCAAGGCCUGGCGCCUCAUGAUAAGCCCGCGGCCUAUCAGCUAGUUGGCGGGGUAAC
rnacentral:rRNA from 1 species